GCCUGGAUGGCUCGGUCAGUCGAGCGUCUGACUUUCCGCUCAGGUCAUGAUCUCGCGGUUCGUGGGUUCGAGCCCCGCGCCGGGCU
rnacentral:tRNA from 1 species